CCUACGGGUGGCAGCAGUGAGGAAUAUUGGUCAAUGGACGAGAGUCUGAACCAGCCAAUUCGCGUGAAGGAUGACUGCCCUAUGGGUUGUAAACUUCUUUUAUAAAGGAAUAAAACGAGGCACGUGUGCCUUUUUGCAUGUACUUUAGGAAUAAGGAUCGGCUAACUCCGUGCCAGCAGCCGCGGUAAUACGGCGGAUCCGAGCGUUACCCGGAUUUAUUGGGUUUAAAGGGAGCUUAGAAGGGUUGUUAAGUCAGUUGUGAAAGUUUGCGGCUCAACCGUAAAAUUGCAAUUGAUACUGGCAGGCUUGAGUACAGUUGAGGUAGGCGGAAUUCGUGGUGUAGCGGGGAAAUGCUUAGAUAGCACGAAGAACCCCGAUUGCGAAGGCAGCUUACUAAACUGUGACUGACAUUGAUGCUCGAAAGUGUGGGUAUCAAACAGGAUUAGAUACCCCAGUAGUC
rnacentral:rRNA from 1 species